AAAGUAUUAAAGAUAAUUUUGUGUUGGCCAUUGAAGAAGAAUUUGUUGAAGAUAACAAGUUACUUGAUCUUGCUGAUAACAGUAUUGUUGCAGUGAUACCACCACUGAGUGGAGGCUAAUUAAACAUGGAAAAUAAAGGAAAAAAUUCAGUAAAAAUCCAAGAUGACGUUUUGUCUGUUGAUGAAAUUACAAAAAUUGUCAUGGCACCAUCAUGUGGAGCAGUGUCUUCAUUCAUUGGAACAACCAGAGACACAUUUAACUCCCAAGAGGUUAUGAAAUUGUCAUACGAAGCCUAUCAAGACAUGGCACUGAAAAAAAUGAAUGUAAUAUGCAAUGAGAUACGUGAAAAAUGGAAUGUAUUUAAUAUUGCAAUUCAUCAUAGAAUUGGUGAUGUACCAGUUGGUGAAAUAAGUGUUGUCAUUGCAGUAUCAUCAGUGCACAGAAAUGAAUCGUUAAAAGCUGUUGAAUAUGCCAUUGAUAGACUCAAACAAACAGUGCCUAUUUGGAAAAAAGAAAUUUAUAAAAAUCAACAGGCUGAAUGGAAAGAAAAUAAAGAAUAUGAUAAAAUGAGUCUUGAUGACGAUGAUAAUGUUUUAUUAAAAAAUAAUAAUGAUUAUUAUGAAAUUAAUGAGAAAUUUAUUCAAGUUAAAUCAACGAGUGAAGAAGUUAAAAUGAGAAUUGAUAAAUUUACAUCCAGGAAACGUGAAGAAAUUAAUAAUAUUAAUAUCAAAGAAUUUCGAAUUGAUGGUGAUGUACAAGAUGAAGAAACUUGUGCAAGAACUCAUGCUGUUUUUGUUCGACGAAAAGAUUCGAAAAGUCAUCUACGAGUUACUAAGGUGGAAAAUAAAAGAGGCCCUCAAACUAUGAGAGUGCCUGAUAAUUGCUCAAAGCUAAAUGACAAUAUUAAUUCUGGUAUUGAUGAACGACUUGGUAAUUGUGAAAAAUUUAUUGGAAUUAAUAAACCAGUACCUCGUGAUAUUUACCAACGAUUAAAAAAUAUUGAAGAUCAAAUUUUUUAUCUCGAAGGAAUUUCUCCAGAGUACAGAAAUUUUCUGACAAAUAAUGAUGAUUCUGAUACAGAUUAUAAACCAGUCAAGAAAAAGUCAUGUUUUGUGUACAUUAAAAAAUGAUUGUUUAUGAGGAAAGUGAUAUUGAUAUACCAAUUAAAAGUUCAAGUGAUCAAAAACAAUUUAAAGUAUAAAAGAAAAAUUAUUGUUCAUUUUGAAAAUACAACAACAGACAAUUUUCCACAAUAACAAAUUGCUAUUAAACAUAACCAUCAAACAGAUAAUAGAAAAUUCCUAUAUGAAGUUAGGCAUCGUCAAAGUAAAAUGGGACGUCCUCGUUCAGUAAUUGCUCAAGGUUCAACACCAG